GUUGAUAAGGUUAAGUGAAUAAGGGCGCACGGUGGAUGCCUUGGCACUAGGAGCCGAUGAAGGACGGGACUAACACCGAUAUGCUUUGGGGAGCUGUAAGUAAGCUAUGAUCCAGAGAUUUCCGAAUGGGGGAACCCAAUAUCUUUUAUAGGAUAUUACUUUUCAGUGAAUACAUAGCUGAUUAGAGGUAGACGCAGAGAACUGAAACAUCUUAGUACCUGCAGGAAGAGAAAGAAAAUUCGAUUCCCUGAGUAGCGGCGAGCGAAACGGGAAGAGCCCAAACCAACAAGCUUGCUUGUUGGGGUUGUAGGACUCCGAUAUGGUAGUCUGUUAGUAUAGUUGAAGGAUUUGGAAAAUUCCGCUAAAGAGGGUGAAAGCCCCGUAGACGAAAUGCUAACAACACCUAGGAGGAUCCUGAGUACGGCGGAACACGAGAAAUUCCGUCGGAAUCCGCGGGGACCAUCCCGCAAGGCUAAAUACUCCCUAGUGACCGAUAGUGAACCAGUACCGUGAGGGAAAGGUGAAAAGCACCCCGGAAGGGGAGUGAAAUAGAUCCUGAAACCGUGUGCCUACAACAAGUCAAAGCUCGUUAAUGAGUGAUGGCGUGCCUUUUGUAGAAUGAACCGGCGAGUUACGAUUGCAUGCGAGGUUAAGUCGAAGAGACGGAGCCGCAGCGAAAGCGAGUCUGAAUAGGGCGAAUGAGUAUGUAGUCGUAGACCCGAAACCAUGUGAUCUACCCAUGUCCAGGUUGAAGGUGCGGUAAAACGCACUGGAGGACCGAACCCACGUACGUUGAAAAGUGCGGGGAUGAGGUGUGGGUAGCGGAGAAAUUCCAAACGAACUUGGAGAUAGCUGGUUCUCUCCGAAAUAGCUUUAGGGCUAGCCUCGGAAUUGAGAAUGAUGGAGGUAGAGCACUGUUUGGACUAGGGGCCCAUCUCGGGUUACCGAAUUCAGAUAAACUCCGAAUGCCAUUCAUUUAUAUCCGGGAGUCAGACUGCGAGUGAUAAGAUCCGUAGUCGAAAGGGAAACAGCCCAGACCACCAGCUAAGGUCCCAAAAUAUAUGUUAAGUGGAAAAGGAUGUGGGGUUGCACAGACAACUAGGAUGUUGGCUUAGAAGCAGCCACCAUUUAAAGAGUGCGUAAUAGCUCACUAGUCGAGUGACCCUGCGCCGAAAAUGUACCGGGGCUAAACAUAUUACCGAAGCUGUGGACUACACCAUUAGGUGUAGUGGUAGGAGAGCGUUCUAAGGGCGUUGAAGGUCGAUCGUGAGGACGGCUGGAGCGCUUAGAAGUGAGAAUGCCGGUAUGAGUAGCGAAAGACAGGUGAGAAUCCUGUCCACCGUAUGACUAAGGUUUCCUGGGGAAGGCUCGUCCGCCCAGGGUUAGUCGGGACCUAAGCCGAGGCCGAUAGGCGUAGGCGAUGGACAACAGGUUGAUAUUCCUGUACCAGUUGUUUUUGUUUGAGCAAUGGAGGGACGCAGUAGGCUAAGGAAUGCAUGCGAUUGGAAGUGCAUGUCCAAGCAAUGAGUCUUGAGUAGAGUUAAAUGCUUUACUCUCUAAGGACAAGUUGUGACGGGGAGCGAAAUAAUAGUAGCGAAGUUCCUGAUGUCACACUGCCAAGAAAAGCUUCUAGUGAGAAAACAACUGCCCGUACCGUAAACCGACACAGGUAGUCGAGGAGAGUAUCCUAAGGUGAGCGAGCGAACUCUCGUUAAGGAACUCGGCAAAAUGACCCCGUAACUUCGGGAGAAGGGGUGCUGACUUCGGUCAGCCGCAGUGAAUAGGCCCAAGCGACUGUUUAUCAAAAACACAGGUCUCUGCAAAAUCGUAAGAUGAAGUAUAGGGGCUGACGCCUGCCCGGUGCUGGAAGGUUAAGAGGAUGGGUUAGCUUCGGCGAAGCUCAGAAUUGAAGCCCC
rnacentral:rRNA from 1 species